GGGUUAUUUGGAAGUUGACGAGAGCUCUUCCAUUAAUUCAGCUAAUAUUCAAUCUGAUCAUGAUUUGGGUCUCAAUGAGAUGGAGAAUGAAGAUUUUGAAGAUGACUCUGAUUGUGAUAGUAGUGACAGCAACGAGGGAACUGUGACUGAUUUCCAGCGCCUUCAUUUGGCUUUCAGUGAGGUUCUAAAUGAAGAUGGUGAAGAUUUUUUUUCAUUGUGACCAUCUACUUUUAUGUGACGUGGAUGUAGUUACUUCUAACGGGCAAGACAAAUAAAGUUCUCCAUUGGCAUGGCGGGCUAAAAGCUUUAAUUUUGUUAUUUGAUUAUUCUUUCAGAUAUGGUAAAAGGUAGCCUCCAAUUUCCACUCUUCUAUGUCUAUUUAUAGUUGAAAUGAUAGUUCUUUUAUCCAGAUACCAGUCUAGUAACUGGUAUAAAAUGGUAACAAAACAUGUUCUUUAUAUUUGUGGAACCAAGAUCCUCUCUUCUUCUUUGAAUAGAAGUCCUUCGAAAAAGUAACGGGACUAUGACAUUAUUAUUGUGUCAA